rnacentral:rRNA from 1 species
UGGGGAAUCUUCCACAAUGGGCGAAAGCCNAUGGAGCAACGCCGCGUGUGUGAUGAAGGGUUUCGGCUCGUAAAACACUGCUGUAAGAGAAGAAUGACAUUGAGAGUAACUGUUCAAUGUGUGACGGUAUCUUACCAGAAAGGAACGGCUAAAUACGUGCUAG